UACAGAGGGUGCGAGCGUUAAUCGGAAUUACUGGGCGUAAAGGGCGCGUAGGCGGUUAUAUGAGUGGGAUGUGAAAGCCCUGGGCUUAACCUGGGAAGUGCAUACCAAACGAUAUAGCUGGAGUACAGGAGAGGGUGGCGGAAUUUCCGGUGUAGCGGUGAAAUGCGUAGAGAUCGGAAGGAACGUCGAUGGCGAAAGCAGCCACCUGGCCUGAAACUGACGCUGAGGCGCGAAAGCAUGGGGAGCAAACAGGAUUAGAAACCCCAGUAGUCC
rnacentral:rRNA from 1 species